CAGCACCUCAAGUGGUCAGGAUGAUUAUUGGGCCUAAAGCAUCCGUAGCCGGCUCUGUAAGUUUUCGGUUAAAUCUGUAUGCUCAACAUACAGGCUGCCGGGAAUACUGCAGAGCUAGGGAGUGGGAGAGGUAGACGGUACUCGGUAGGAAGGGGUAAAAUCCUUGAUCUAUUGAUGACCACCUGUGGCGAAGGCGGUCUACCAGAACACGUCCGACGGUGAGGGAUGAAAGCUGGGGGAGCAAACCGGAUUAGAUACCCGAGUAGUCC
rnacentral:rRNA from 1 species